CAGGGAGAGUGUGAGUGAGACAGCGUGUGUGUGCUGGGAGGGUCUAAACAUGCGAUUGCUUUCAGCAGAGCACGGCCCACGGUGUAAUUACGGCGAGGGGCUGCCGGCUCCCAGCGCUAAGUGAUUUCAUGUGCCUCGGUGAUUGCGCCCCGCUGCAGGAUAAAAGUGUGGCUUCUAUUUUCCCGUAUGAAAUGGUUCCCAGACUGGGAGGGAGGCUGGCCGGGGUGGCCGCGGGGACGCGGGCUUCGGUGGGUGCUGGUGAGAAGGUGCGAGGGAGGCAGGGGGGACCAGGCUGCCGGACUCACGCUGCAGCUGGCCACUGUCCCCGCGGGGCCGAGCGCCUGGGCUUUGACCCCCAUCCCCAUUAACACCCGGGAUGCGACCCCGCAUGACCUCAGGCCCGCAUCGCCGGUGACCACUGCCUCUGGCUGGGGGGACCGGGCAGCAACCCCCCUCCCCAGCACUCGGGGCUUCCUCAGGGCCAGCAGGGCCAGCUCCAGCAGGGACUUGAGCCAGGACCCGGCGGGGAGAGCUCGGGCUGGGAUUCCGUCCCUUUGCAGAGUUAGGGGAAAGCUGGACAUAAAUUUCCGAACUUUUCCAAGUGUUUUUAAAUGCCGUCUCCCCGCCUCCCCUCCUGUGCCCCACAGCCUGUGUGGGGUUCUUGUUUUCGUUUUGUGUGUAAUUCCCUGAGGUGCUGGUCCGGGUACCUGGCCUCUCAGAGUGGCCGGUGCUGUCCGGCCGUGGCUGUGUGGCCUCCGAGAGCUGAUCACACGGGCUGAGCCUCCUGUGCAGCUGGGGUGCGCCCUGCAGCACCCUCCUGUCCUCACCCCUUCCCCUCCUCCUCCCGCUUCACCCCUGGGGGGCACUGGGGACACACCGGGAUGGCGCACAGGGCCAUAGGACGCUGGCCUGGCCGCAGGGGCAGCCUGGCUCCCUGCUCUGGGUCCCUCUGCUGCCUCAGGGCACCAGAGAUGUCCUUCCAUGCAGAGCCUGCCCUGGGUCCUGCCUGUCGCAGACCCCCGGGCAGUGCUGUGGGCAGGCCCAGCCUCUCGCAGGGAGGCAGCACUGGGGGUCAUUUCAGACCAGAGUGACCCACAGGCCACCCGGAGGAAGCAAGGAAGUGGGGUGGUGGGAUUAGAGCCCCGAGACGCCGUCCCAGCCUAGCGGCCUGCACUGCCCGGCCGGCCGUGUGGCUUUGCAGAGGCCGCUUCCUGCGUCUGGGCCCCGCGGUGAGGGCGACAGAGCCCACUGCUGUGGCUGAGACAGCGCGGUCCCUGGGUGUGUGGGUUUGCUCUGCUGCUGGGCUGGGCCACCUUUCCGAAAGGCGCUCUCCGUGUGACCCCAGAGGGCUGUCCGUCUGCCGCCGAGCUCUGUCCAUCCUCCGGGCUGCCUGCUUCCGUGCGCGAUGCUCCUGUCAGGGCCUCAUCGCCCCUUCUAACCAUUUCCGAGGGCUCACCUCUGGCUCGCUCUUUUCCAUUUCUUUGGUUUCUGCUGGCAUCUUUGGCAGUUCAGUCCGUCUGUCCCCUUUCCGUGGACACUCCCUUUUCUCUAGGCUCCUAGUGUUGAGUUUGGACGGGUCCUUCCUGAGCCUCUUUGUCAUUCACUCCACAUUACAGCCGUGACCGCGAUGGACCCCUUCAGCUGUGCGCUGUGCACCCUGAUCUGCGACGCGUCUCUGCGGGCGUUUCGCUUGGGGCCAGUGGGUGAGGCCCAGUUUCGAUGUGUGGUUCUGGUUGGCCUUGAACUCACUGUGGAGCCCAGAUUGGCCUCCAACUCUUAGCAAUCUUCCUGCCUCGGCCUCCCGAGGGCUGAGAUUUCAGGCGCGGCUUGCAAGCAUUUUAAAAUAGUUUCAUCUUCCUUCCGUUCCCUUCCGUGAGCUGUGAGUUGUUUGGAAGUGUUUCCCUCAUUUCCAAGCGCUCUGGGAGUUUUCCAAGUGUCACGGUGCAGGUUCCCAACUGAAUUCAGUUCUGCUCGGGGAACAUCUCGGUCCAGUCCGCCGAGUGAGGGUCCUCUCCCCGGGCAGACGCUGGUCCUGAUUAGGGUUUGGUGUGAGCUCACACAGAAAGAGUAUCUGAUGCUUGACUGAAUAUUCCACGAAUCCACUUAGGUCAAGGUCAGAAACACUGUUUCAAUUUUUUUGUGAGGGUUCUGGGGAUCAACCCGGAAUCUUCACGCUGGGUACAUCUGUCUUUCUUUCUCCAAGACUAGGUCUUGGUAAAUCACUGCUAUGGCUGUGUCUGAUGUCCCCAGAGCCUCACGUGGUCACCGGUGGGGCUUUUCAGAGGUGGCUGGAGCCAGAGUGUGAUGCUGGGAUGAAGGGUGCGUGGCCCCUAACUCAGCCCCUGGCGCCCACCUCAAGCCCGGUGGCCCGGAAGGGGCAGGAAGAAGCCGCCGUGGGCCUCGGACUUGGUUCUCAGCCGCUCCGAGGCUGCUGCCCUCCCCCGUGAACCGUCUCUGCCCUGCGAUGCCCUCUGCCACCACCCUCCUCGGGGUCAGCCCGUGACAGGCUGAAAUCGUGACUCUGAGCUGAGUAAGCCUCCCCCUUUGAUUGUGACUGUCAGAUAUUUUGUCUCAGCAACAAGAAAAGUAACUGCCGCUGUCCCUAAGGUCUAACCGACAACCCUCCUGCCUCAGCCUCCCAGACGGCUGGGUUACAGGUGUGCGCUGCUUCCCAUCUUCAGACAGCAUUUAGUUCUGCCUCGGUGUUCCGUCAGCUGCUGAGCACAGGACUGCGAAUGUGUAUAACUAAGUAUGUACUAACUUGCCCUCCCUACAAGAAGUCUCCAGUUACGACUGUGGGUUUCUCUGUUUUUCCUUUUUACCAUAAAAUUUUCUUGCAUAUUUAAAAUUUUUUUCAGGUGUACAUGCAUUGUCUUACACACUUAUACACACAUACACACACGCACACGGGGGUUGAGGAACCCUUAUCCAAAAUUCGUGAGAUCAGACUUCUGAGUUUGGGAUAUUUGCAUGCGCACAAUGAGCUGCAGUCUGCAUAUGCACAUGCGGUGUAUAUUUGCACAUACAUGAUCAGCUGCAUAUUUGCAUAUUUGCAUAUUUGCAUAUGCAUAACCAGGUAUCUUGGGGAUGAGACCAGGCCUGAAGACAAACCCGUCUGCACAUUGCGGGCACCUCCUGCACAAGGCUUGAAGGCAGCGAUAGGAGUUCUAGGGGUAGAGUUUUGACGUCGUCCCAUCCUGGGAGGCCAGUGUGGACUUUUCCUCCCGGCAUCAGGUGGUCAGCAGAGAGCUCUGGGUUAGGGAGCACUUAGGGUCCCCCAUUUGGGCGAGUCGGCUCCUCUCUCCUGUCCACAUCGCAUAUCGCCUUGCACGAUGGGUGUGACGCAGUGUCCAGCACGUUCUGUGUCCCUCGUGUCGUCCGGUGUGUGCCUCACACACUCCCGUCUCUGUCCCAGCUGCCCAGCCUCAGCGUCCCCUCCUCACUGGCCCCCUCUAGAAAACUGUGUCUGCUCCUACCUUUUAUGUUUGUGGAAUCAAUGACAAACUAGUAUUAUUAAACGUGUAUUAUUAUUCCCCCUGCACAGAAUCUGCCUGUCACGCGUGCUCGUCUUGAACCGUGUCUUUAACAGUGUAUGUCAGUGCGCUUUGCCCUUUAUUACCUAAACAGCUUGCACAUUCUUGUUGAUGGCUGCAUAGUACUCCAGCUCAGCUCGCUGUACACCUUGGUGGUGACCUACAGUGCUGCCCUUUCCCAUCCCCCUUUCCCAUCCCAGGCCCUGCCCUCUGGCCAGCCAGCACCCAGGAACAAGCCUGGCCCAGCUGCUCCUCUCCGCCACAGGUCGAUCAGGGAUGGCAGCAAGCUGCCAUUCACAUGCUCCUCCCCGCACACACAGAGGCCUUGGCCAGGCCUUGCCAUCCAGCUGCACUGAAUGCCAGGCACACAGCUGUGCCUGGCCCUGUCCACAGCCAGAGCCCAGACCUGUUUCUCAUUCACCAUGUGCUCCUGAGCAGCUCGCCCUCCCGGCACCAGGCUCGAGGCAGAAACAGGCAGAGAAGGGCUUGUUGCCUGCCGGCGCUGCCCCCGCUUAGCGUGUUACUCUCCCCGCUGCAGGUUGCUGAGGCGCAGAGAGUUUGAGUAACUUGCCGGGCAUCACACAGCGCGGCAGGGCUGGGCCUGGGUCCCGGCAGCCGGGCUCGUGGUCUGGGGAAGGGUAAAUGCAGCGGUGAGCGGUGAGCCCGAAGGGCUUGGACCAGACCUGGUCUGUGGUCUGCGGGAGCCGCGUCCUCGCUCCGGCCAAGGCUCGGAGUCCAGCGGCCGUGGCACGGGCCGGGGGUGGGGUGCUGGGGACACCAUGCCGCUUAGGAAACCGGCCCCCAGCGAUUUCUGAAAGCACCAGGGCGAGUGGGGAGAAGCGGCCACGCGUCAGGAGGGCAGUGCGGGGCUGUGUGGCCAGGCUGCUGUGGGGAGCCGAGCCCCGGAGCCCCGCUUUGCGCCCCGGCUCCAGGAUCACGCCCGCCUGGACUCGAGCGAGAUGACAGUGUGCAAACGAUUUGCACCCCCUGGCUUGUCUUUGCAGCAGCAGCAGAGGCGAAGGGGUUAGCGAGCUUUUCUUGGCAGGGGAAAAGACACGAAACGCCCAACCACAGAAUUCUCCAAAAUAUUGCUAAGCACUAAUUUCGCUAACAUCUUAGCGCGCGGAUCCAGGCAAUCCUGUUCCUCAGCUGGAAGUGGUUCCCAAAACCCACGUGACCCCCAGUCCACCCUGAGCUGUGUGGGCGGCGAGGAUGCUGCUCUGCUGCCCCCGCCUGCCAGCCGCUGAGCAGGGCUUUCCCGGCCCCCAGGAUGCCACCCCGGCGAGCCCAACCUGCCGUGAGGCUCGCAGCCCGCAGGCCCACGCACGGAUGCAGCCUCCACCGGCUCCCGCACGGCGCAGGCCGCCUGGGGACCGAGACGGGGUCCAGGGCUCCUUCAAGGGCAGAAUUUUGACCAAAACAGGCUUCGCGAGGAGGCGAGUGAGCGGAGAGCGGCCUGUGAAGGAGACGCAGGGGGACUGCCGUGGUUACGGCCACUCUGCCCAGAGCCGGCCGGUCCCUGGGCAGCGACCUGGCAUCGCGCAGAAGCCGAGCUGCUUGCCUGCACUGUGACUGCUCUUCCCGGAGUGCGGGUCCUUCACUAACCUGCGUUGCUGAGGAGGAAUUUGAGGGUAGGGACAGUGGCCAGGACAGCACAGACCCCUUUCCUGGGGCCUCUGGCAAGUCCACACACUGCCCACACACUGUCAAGCCAAGCGGACCAGACCAGAGAAGGCGAAUGUAUCAGGACACAGUCCACCCCGACCAGCCGCACGGAGCCAGAGAUGCGAGAUCCCGGAGGAUGCAAGUCUGUUACUACAAACCCUGCGGUUCCUAAACCUGCGCUGUUUCCACAGAGCCCAAGCCCAGCUGCACUGGCUGCCAGUGGGAACAGUGCCGCCUGCCCCCCAGGGAGGCUUGGGGUCAGUUUCCUGCCCUUCCAGGACCUGCUCCGAGCGCGACACCCCUCUGAUGUGGGCUUGGCUUUCAGUGCCACGAUGCCCAGGCAGACUGGCACCUUUCACUGAUGGACCUGCCUGUGAUUCGGGAGCUGGGUUCUCUUCGGUGCUAAGUAAUAUUCCAAGGCCCACCGGGCUAGUUUAUUUUCCGUCCACUCCCCUACCGAGGGGCAGCUGCUGGUCUCCAUCUUGGCCAUCCUGAGUGACACUGCGGUUAGCUUCUCUGGAGUCUAAAUCUAAGCUUCCAUCCCACCUGGGUAAAUACCAAGGCGAGUGAUCUCUAGAUCACAGGAAGAGUGUUCGGCUUUGUAAGAACUGCAGUGGCAUGUUCUGGAGUUUAGCUAUUCAGUAGGGGAGCCACGGUUGAAUUUUUCCAUUUUUGUGUCUUUUUGAGGCAGGAUUUUGCUCUGCAGUUCAGGCUGGCCUUGAACUUAUGACAAUCCUCCUGCCACGGCCUCCCAGUGCUGGGAUCACACAUGUGCACCACCGUAGCUGGAUAUAAACUCUCUGGGGGGAUCCACCCAGGUGAAAAGGUGCACAGACACAAGGGACAGCAUGAUCACGGUCACCCGAUGGACGCAGCCCUGCAGUGGCCCCAGGCCAUUGCCUUAGCAGAUCCUGGAUACCCUCAUGGCCCGGAUGUGUCAGCUUCGCCUUGGUGUGGUCAUCUGGUGGGGAGGAUUUGUGACCAGAUCAUUUAGAAACCUGAGCUCUGUGUGGGUCUCCACUCGGAUGCACUCGGGAUUCCAAAGCAGCCAUGACUGACGUUGAAGUCAUGGGUUUGGGGACAGUGAGCCCUCCAGGGAGCAGAGCCAUGUUUUGAAGGAAAGGUGAUCUAAUAACUCCGUACCCAGAGCCAGGCACUCCCUAGGGCCUGGCUGGGACUCUCCGGUCACCGCCCACCAGCCGCCCAGUGGGCAGUGGGGUGGCUCCCUGGGGCUCCCUCCUGCCUGCAUUCAGGAGAGGAGGGGACCAUCUGCACCUGCGGAGGGAGGGGGGACCACUGGCCGAGGGGUGUGUCCCCCUGGGGUCAGGGUCAGGGCGCCUUGCUGCGUCCAGGUGGCUGUUGCUGGAGUCCGGUUUGCACUAGAGUUCGAAACCAGAAGGUGACGGUCCCUCUGGGCAGCCGGACAUCCCUGCGCCCUCCUCAGAUCCGCAGCCCUUCUGCCUGCAGGGGGGUCCUUGACUGAGCCCCACCCAGCUCAUCUCUCCAUGGCUCCCCUUGGCCAGCGCACCCUGCAGGCCACCGCCAGGACACAGUCUCCUGAUGUCUCACGGCCGGAGCCCAGUGCAGGGCCCCCUGACACUGUGGGCUCCACCCCUGUCCGGAAGGUUCCGGAACAGCAGAGGCCCUCAGUCCCUGGCACUGAGCGGAGGUGGCUUUUCCUCUUCUCUUUGACACCAGGGUCUGGGAAAGCAGAUCACGCCUGGCACCGGUGUCCUCGGGUUUGGGUUCCAGCUCUGGCUCCGCCCUGGGGCCUCAGCGUCCCCCUACUUUCCGGCCUGGAGGGGAGACGCCCAUGGAAGGACGGGCAUGGCCAGCGGGGUUUGUUUGCUGUCGAUUUCUUUUGUAAGGGAUGGGCUCACACAUUCUGCUUAACCUCCAUGCUGGGGGUAACGGCCUGGCCUCGGCUAGCUGCAGGGAGGCUGGGAAAUGGGGCCACGCCCCCAACAGCAGGGCCAAUGACUUCGCCAGCCUGUGUGUCCGGGACUCCACGCAGAGUCAGGAUGGGCAGUGACACCACACAGAGGGGAAAGGCUGGGCGGGACGGUGCUGGGACCUGCGUCCACUGAGUGUGUGCUAAGGGCCCAGCUUGUGGGACAGGGAAGCCCAUGGCGGGGGCUUGGUCAGCAGUGCAGGGCUCCUGGCCUGACCCUGGCCUCUGGCUCCUCAGUCACAGGUGAGGCCGCCCACUGUGGCCCAGGCUGGGCCACACACACCUCUGCUUCAGGGUCAGAUUUUACAGCCCUGUGAGUGGCAGACGGGGUGUGGAGCGACCUACAGCAGCUGAAAUGGAGAAGAAAAGGCAGACAGGGACAGGUGGGGGGCAGUCACCCCAAACCCACCAGUCCUGGAGGAAGCCCUGCGUGGGGCCACCCACGCACCGCCCCGUAUGGUGUGGCAGCCCGGGCCCCUGCUGUCCACUGGGCCUCCUCACACAAAGGCCUCCCAGUCCCUGCUCUCCUGGCAAGAGUGGUGAGGGGCCUGUGCCCCACCCUCAUCCUCUGUCCCUGGGCCUCGAUGUACCUGUGUCCACCUCCUCAGACAGAGGAUGGCCCUGGGCUCUAGGGAGGCCGUGAGCUGCUCCCGGUCCUGAGAGCUGGGAUGGGGACGGGCCCCAGCUCCUCCUGGCUUGCAGGUCCCUGACCUCCCACUUCAGCCCCCGCAGAGUUGAGUCAGUCAUCACCUUGCCCAGUUCCUGGGACCAGGGAUGUGGGUUCCCGCAUCAGGAGGACAGCUCUCCCCCAGGGACCCCACCACGUCAUUCACAGAGGGACCCUUCUGCCUCCUCGCCAGGGCGGGGACACCGAGGUUCCAGCAGCCUGGCGAGUGAUGUCUUGAGGGGCCUUCCAGCCCGCUGCCCUCGGCCCCCCAAGCGGGCUGUUCUGUCCCCAGUGCCCCAGAUCCCUGGGCACUGUUUUGCCUGGAGUCUGCACCCGUGGGGUCUUUCCUGGGUGGCUCCAGCAGCAAAGUUGCCGACCAGGCACCGCCAAGCACAGAUGUUUCUGGGACUCAGAGAACCAAGGGACCCCACCCCCAGCCCCGGGAGGCCACUGGACCAGGCAGAUCAACGGCCAGGUCCCGGCUGGGGUGGCAGUGCAUGGCGGUUGGAGGAGACACAGCUGCUGUGGGGCCCCAAGCCACCCACCUUCCUGACAGAGCACCCCCAUGUGAUAAUUAAAAUGUGGGGACCCCCACCUCCGACUCAGCCUCCCUGCUGGUGAGAGUGGGUGUCCCUGGCCCGAACCUUGGCUAAUUGUCCCCCAGCUCCCUGACCCGGUAUCUGCUCUGCUUGGACGUGAAGGGCACCUUCUCCUCCGUCUGCUUCAGAGUCCCAUGGUGGGAAUCAGAGAACUCGCCUGCGCAGUAUCAUCUGACCCCGCAGGCCGGGCCUCGGAGGACGGGCCGGCCCCUGCCCUGCCCAAACAGACGAGAUCCAAGCUCCCUCCAGGAAAUUGAGUGGAACACCGAACCGCCAUCCAGGAGUAAACCUUACAUUCGUCCAGUCGUUCUGCAGUGUUCCCUGGUUUCCAACAUCUGGGAGCGAAAUUUAUAAAUGCAGAAACUGAAUACCUGGGCGGCGUGGGGCUCAUCAGCGCUGAGGGCUUAGCAUGUUCCUGUGUGUGCUCCAAGUCGGCCACUUAGAAAGGUGGCUAUUAAAACAUGAUCAGGCGCACGGUGUUUUGUCUCCGAAAUGUCAGACACCAUUAAAGUUAAAAAGACUUUGAUGCUCAAGCCCCUGGCCCAGGCUCUGCCCCGUCAGCAGCCGAGGUCCCGAGAAAGUUCUCUGUAGAGGAGGCCGAGCUGCAGGACCCAGCACAGUGCCGGACACACCCAGCAUUCACCAACAAUCAAGCCGCAGAACUACUGCCUGUGCUGCUGGCCAGCCUGGUGUUUUGUUUUUUGUUUUGUUGGUACCGGGGACCAAACUCAUGACCUUGUGUUUGCCACCAGGCAGGCACUUAUGCACUGAGCUAAAUCCCCAGCCCUCAACCUGUUUUUAUAAAUAAAGUUUUAUUGAACCCAGGACCAGCCAGACAGGGCUUACUAGGUCCACUUCUUAUCUUGUCCUUAUUUAAAGUUUUUUUUUUUUUUCCGUUUUUAUCGGUACCAGGGAUCAAACUCACGACUGCCUGCUUGCAAGGCAGGCGCUUAUGCCGCUGAGCUAAAUCCCCAGCCCUCUUAUUUAAAGUUUUGAUAUUAUCAUUUAAAAAAAAAUUUUUUUACUUUUAAAUAAAAGACUGCAUUAGGAUGCUA